rnacentral:rRNA from 1 species
UACGUAGGGCGCAAGCGUUGUCCGGAAUUAUUGGGCGUAAAGAGCUCGUAGGCGGCUUGUCACGUCGGAUGUGAAAGCCCGGGGCUUAACCCCGGGUCUGCAUUCGAUACGGGCAGGCUAGAGUGUGGUAGGGGAGAUCGGAAUUCCUGGUGUAGCGGUGAAAUGCGCAGAUAUCAGGAGGAACACCGAUGGCGAAGGCGGAUCUCUGGGCCAUUACUGACGCUGAGGAGCGAAAGCGUGGGGAGCGAACAGG